AACGUAGGGGGCCAGCGUUGCUCAGAAUUACUGGGCGUAAAGGGUCCGUAGGCGGUGCGGCAAGUCGGAAGUGAAAUCUCAGGGCUUAACUCUGAGGCUGCUCCCGAAACUGCCGUGCUCGAGUGCGAGAGAGGCGAGUGGAAUUGCAGGUGUAGCGGUGAAAUGCGUAGAUAUCUGCAGGAACACCCGAGGCGAAAGCGGCUCGCUGGAUCGCAACUGACGCUGAUGCGCGAAAGCUAGGGGAGCAAACAGG
rnacentral:rRNA from 1 species